UCACUGUUCCUUCCUGACUAUCCGUGGAAGGGGCGGCGGCUAACAUGGAGAGGCGUAGCGUGGCGCGUAUUGCCGGCGUAAACAUUCCGACC
rfam:Granulibacter bethesdensis CGDNIH1 chromosome, complete genome.